AACCAAAUAGUUUAAUUAAAACAGUUAAUUGCAAAUUAAAAAAUAAAUACUGGUUA
rnacentral:tRNA from 1 species